AAGGGGUUAAUUGGAGAGCAGAGAGGCCAGAUAAGUGGCUAGCAGGUACAAAUGAGUUAUUUAUAGAAUAGUUAUGAAUGCUGGAGAAAAAAAGGAUUGAAUAAAUUGAAAUUAAUAGAAUUAUUAUGGUUGCACAAAUUUCAGACUAACAACUUGAUAGAGAAACUUAAAAAAUACGUGAACAUAUCUGAAGUGAAUAUCGGAAAUCAGCCUGAGGAGACAGUAAAAGAAGAUAUAACAACAGGGCAAUUAUUGGCCGCAGAGGAUAUCAGUUUAGAUAUCACAAUUAAAAAAGAACAAGUAGAAGAAUUACUAGAACAGGAGAUCAGCAGUGGCAAACCUGCAAUGGGAAAAGCUCCAAUGCAGUUUUCCUGGUUUUGGUAAGAGAUAUGCUUUUUAUAAAUGGAUAACAAAAUUCUUAACAGACAAAAUGAUUUAUUUCUGCUGGAUUUUACCCCAAUUGGCUACCAUUUUGCUGUGUUUUUCCUUUAUAUAAAAGAACCUCAUUAUUUCUGUAUGGUUUCUCAGUUGUUCACAUCUUCCUCAAAUGGACUCUGGCAUAGAGGUAUCUAACUCACAGCCUAUGGAGUGGCCCCAAGAGAUCCAUUUCUUUUUGAGUUUGAUAACACCAACAUAGAGGAAAAAAUAUAGGACAUAGAGUGUAUCUAGGGUCAAAUUGGAGCUUUGUCACUUCAACUUGUGUGAUUGAGGUUAUGUGAUUUCUGAUCAAUACGUUUGAGAUUUCUCAUCUAUAUAAAAUGAGGGGAUGGCACAAGUUGACAUCCAGUGUUACUUCCAAAUCUACAUCAGGGAAACUUCAACUCCUUACAAGACAAAUCAUGUAUUAGUUGUGUUUAAUGUAGAGGAGGAAGCGGUAGGGAGAGAUGAUACCAUGCCACAUGCACAAAACUUUUAACUUAAUUGACUUACAUUUCUUGUUUGUUUCUUUUUUUUAACAUAAAAGUCAAGUUAGGUUAUACCUAUUCUCUUCGAUAUAUGCCAACAUAGACAUGUGCCCCAUAAAAAACCAAAGUUCCUUUAACAUAUGGCUUUAUCUUUCUUAUGGAAUUGAAAUUUAUGAAUUUUUAUAGUGUGUUUCUCUUUAGGUAACUUUUUGCAUCAUAAUAGAAUAUAUUUUAUGCUUUAAUUAUUUCCCUCUCAAAUCUUGGAUGAUUCUAGCAAUGUCCAAGGAUACAAUUGGCGGAGUUUCUUUUGUUUUAAAAAACAUGAUAAACAAGUACAGAAUGUGCGCAAGCAGGAAGAAACUGACCUAAAGCUGCUGGUGUCUGACUGGACAGAAACUCAAGUUGGCCAUUGGUUAAAGAGUAUUGGAAUGAAAAAAUAUAUCCUGAAAUUUGAUUAUAAAAGAGUAAGCAGUCAAGAACUUCUUGAAUUAGACAAUGAUGCAUUAAAAGUAAGCUUCAGAAUUGGCUUUUUAUAUAUGCUACAUACAAUUAUAUAUUAACUUAUUUUAUGGUGGGCAUUGGAUGAAAAACAGUACAAAUAAUGGGAUUCCUAUAUAUGGCCCAUUUGACAACCUUAUGGUUUUAAGGAAAACAUGUU